rnacentral:piRNA from 1 species
CAUUGGGUUGCUAUUUUGCGU